AUUGAACGCUGGCGGCAGGCCUAACACAUGCAAGUCGAGCGGAUGAAGGGAGCUUGCUCCUGGAUUCAGCGGCGGACGGGUGAGUAAUGCCUAGGAAUCUUCCUGGUAGUGGGGGAUAACGUCCGGAAACGGGCGCUAAUACCGCAUACUUCCUGAGGGAGAAAGUGGGGGAUCUUCGGACCUCACGCUAUCAGAUGAGCCUAGGUCGGAUUCGCUAGUUGGUGGGGUAAAGGCCUACCAAGGCGACGAUCCGUAACUGGUCUGAGAGGAUGAUCAGUCACACUGGAACUGAGACACGGUCCAGACUCCUACGGGAGGCAGCAGUGGGGAAUAUUGGACAAUGGGCGAAAGCCUGAUCCAGCCAAGCCGCGUGUGUGAAGAAGGUCUUCGGAUUGUAAAGCACUUUAAGUUGGGAGGAAGGGCAGUAAGUUAAUACCUUGCUGUUUUGACGUUACCAACAGAAUAAGCACCGGCUAACUUCGUG
rnacentral:rRNA from 1 species